GUGUUGUAUGAAAGCAGAGAAGGAUAACAUGUGCUCCCCUUGACAAAAACGGAUGAUACCCUUGGGCUUCAAAGCAAUGUGAAGUGGAAAUUUCUGGCUUCUAUGAAGAUUCAGUUUUGU